rnacentral:rRNA from 1 species
AUUGAACGCUGGCGGCAGGCCUAACACAUGCAAGUCGAGCGGCAGCGGGAAAGUAGCUUGCUACUUUUGCCGGCGAGCGGCGGACGGGUGAGUAAUGCCUGGGGAUCUGCCCAGUCGAGGGGGAUAACUACUGGAAACGGUAGCUAAUACCGCAUACGCCCUACGGGGGAAAGCAGGGGACCUUUGGGCCUUGCGCGAUUGGAUGAACCCAGGUGGGAUUAGCUAGUUGGUGAGGUAAUGGCUCACCAAGGCGACGAUCCCUAGCUGGUCUGAGAGGAUGAUCAGCCACACUGGAACUGAGACACGGUCCAGACUCCUACGGGAGGCAGCAGUGGGGAAUAUUGCACAAUGGGGGAAACCCUGAUGCAGCCAUGCCGCGUGUGUGAAGAAGGCCUUCGGGUUGUAAAGCACUUUCAGCGAGGAGGAAAGGUCAGUAGCUAAUAUCUGCCGGCUGUGACGUUACUCGCAGAAGAAGCACCGGCUAACUCCGUGCCAGCAGCCGCCGUAA